ACUGCAAGAUGAAAUACAAGAAAAAAAAAAGCUUUACUAGCAAAAGUUCAUAAUAGGGUGAAAGAAGCCGGAACUAAAGCUAAUGAACUUAAAAUGUCACUGGAGAAUCUUUGUGAUUCGGCAAAGACAGAAAUUGAGGCAUUAGCAGAAGCAGAGAAUGAAUUAAUGAUGAUUGAGAGAGAUCUAAAAGAAGCAGAAAAGG